rnacentral:rRNA from 1 species
UGGGGAAUAUUGGACAAUGGGCGAAAGCCUGAUCCAGCCAUGCCGCGUGUGUGAAGAAGGUCUUCGGAUUGUAAAGCACUUUAAGUUGGGAGGAAGGGCAGUAAGCGAAUACCUUGCUGUUUUGACGUUACCGACAGAAUAAGCACCGGCUAACUCUGUGCCAGCAGCCGCGGUAAUACAGAGGGUGCAAGCGUUAAUCGGAAUUACUGGGCGUAAAGCGCGCGUAGGUGGUUCGUUAAGUUGAAUGUGAAAGCCCCGGGCUCAACCAGGGAACUGCAUCCAAAACUGGCGAGCUAGAGUAGGGCAGAGGGUGGUGGAAUUUCCUGUGUGGCGGUGAAAUGCGUAGAUAUAGGAAGGAACACCAGUGGCGAAGGCGACCACCUGGGCUCAUACUGACACUGAGGUGCGAAAGCGUGGGGAGCAAACAGG